ACACUGGUUGAUCCUGCCAGACCCGACUGCUAUAGGGAUGAGACUAAGAUAUGCAAGUUGCACGCCUGUAACCAUGUACAGGAGUAGCGAACCGCUCAGUAACACGUUGACAACCUACCCUCAGGACGGGGACAACUACGGGAAAAUUGGUGCCAUAUGAACACUUGUGGAGUUAACAAGGGAAACUAGCGAUGAAUUAUUGAUGGAGCCGAAUUUAUCUGAAGACCCAAAAAUCUUCAAAGCAUACCUAUCGGGCUUCUUCGAUGGGGAAGGUUCAUUUCUUGUCAAGGCGAGACCCGAUUCGAGAUAUCGAAUCGGAAACCAGCUCGUCUUGCGGAUAGAGAUUUCACAGAACUACGGUGAAAUACUCAAGUACCUUCAAUCAAAGAUGCAAGUAGGGAAUGUCUAUUACUUUAAAAAACGGCACAUCUACAGCUGGGUAACUCAUGACUUACCCGGCCUCAUCAAGUUUACUGAUUUACUCCGUGAGUACGUCGUUGUCAAACGCGAUAAACUCGAACGAUUUAGAACUAUCAUCGCUUUGGUUCAACAAAAACACCAUCUUAACAGAGAUGGGCUUUCCCAAAUUCUCCAUAUAUGGAAUGACACCAAUCCCGAGACUGUGGCUAAUCCCCGAUAGACGGCGCCGCCUGGAAUGGUCCGUCGUCCAAAGCAAGCUCCGCAUGUGGAGUACGCGCCCGAGGAUGGGUCAGCGGCUGAUUAGGUUGUUGGUGGGGUAACGGCCCACCAAGCCAUCGAUCAGUACCGGCCGUGAAAGCGGGAACCGGGAGAUGGGCACUGAGACAAAGGCCCAGGCCCUACGGGGCGCAGCAAUCGCGAAACCUCUGCAAUCCGGGAAACCGGGACAGGGUCAUCCCUAGUGCCAUGCUAUCGCGUGGCUUUUGCCGACAGUAGGAACGUCGGAGAAUAAGGGGAGGGCAAGGCUGGUGCCAGCCGCCGCGGUAAAACCAGCUCCUCAAGUGGUCGGGAUGAUUAUUGGGCCUAAAGCAUUCGUAGCCGGCCUCGCAAGUUCCUGGUCAAAUCCAACCGCUCAACGGUUGGGCUGCUGGGAAUACUACAAGGCUUGGGAGCGGGAGAGGCCGAGGGUACUCCUAGGGUAGGGGUGAAAUCCUGUGAUCCUAGGGGGACCACCAGAAGAUGAGCAACCACUGCCAUCUGGUGAAUGGCGUAGG
rnacentral:rRNA from 1 species